GUUAUCAAUGAAAACUGGAACUUAUUUCUUUGUCUAAGAUAAUUUUCUUUAGUACCCAGUCCCCCACUCUGAAAUCUUUUCUGCGAACCAUAGAAUUGAAAUAUCUUUCCAUCUUCUUCUCAUAUACGACGAACUUCAUCUAGGAGUCAUCUCACUUUUCUUCUACGAACUCUAAGCUUACAUUUACGACUUCUUUGUUUUGUUCUUCGCUGUAACCUAUUCUUCUAGUCAAACUUAAAUCAAUUUCGAUUGGGAUCAUGGCUUCCAUCACAUAGGCAAUGGAGAAAGGAGUUUCUCCUCUAGUUAUUUUGGUGGUGGUGUGAGAUGUCCAUUAAACUUGUGACAGUUCAUUAGACCAUAAUCCUUUCACAAUAUCUAACUUCCUUUUAGGAUGCUUUUUAGUGUUUUAUUUACUGUAUUUACUUGUUCGUUAGCUUGGGGGUAAUAUAGGGUAGAAAAAUGUCUGCCAAUUCCCAAUUCGUCACACAUAGCUCUCAAUUUUUUCCCUUGAAAUUAUGUACCUUUCUGGAGUUCGGUGCUCCAAAUCAGCAGAUAAUAUUUUUCCUUAAGAAGUUACAAGUAUUAACCUUAGUCGUACUUGCAAGUGGUUCUACUUCCACCUAUUUAGUAAAAUAGUCUACAACUACAAUAAUGAAUCUUAUAUUAGAUCUUACUCUUUCUAACGAAGUCAAUACCUCAUUUUGUGAAAGGCCAAGGGCUGCUGGUGGUUAUCAAUUCCUGG
rnacentral:lncRNA from 1 species